rnacentral:rRNA from 1 species
GACGAACGCUGGCGGCGUGCUUAACACAUGCAAGUCGAACGGAAAGGCCCUGCUUUUGUGGGGUGCUCGAGUGGCGAACGGGUGAGUAACACGUGAGUAACCUGCCCUUGACUUUGGGAUAACUUCAGGAAACUGGGGCUCAUACCGGAUAGGAGCUCCUGCUGCAUGGUGGGGGUUGGAAAGUUUCGGCGGUUGGGGAUGGACUCGCGGCUUAUCAGCUUGUUGGUGGGGUAGUGGCUUACCAAGGCUUUGACGGGUAGCCGGCCUGAGAGGGUGACCGGCCACAUUGGGACUGAGAUACGGCCCAGACUCCUACGGGAGGCAGCAGUGGGGAAUAUGGCACAAUGGGCGGAAGCCUGAUGCAGCAACGCCGCGUGCGGGAUGACGGCCUUCGGGUUGUAAACCGCUUUCGCCGGUGACGAAGCGGGAGUGACGGUAAUGGGUAAAGAAGCACCGGCUAACUACGUG